rnacentral:rRNA from 1 species
AGAGUUUGAUCCUGGCUCAGAUUGAACGCUGGCGGAAUGCUUUACACAUGCAAGUCGAACGGCAGCACGGGAGCUUGCUCCUGGUGGCGAGUGGCGAACGGGUGAGUAAUAUAUCGGAACGUAUCCAAUAAUGGGGGAUAACUAGUCGAAAGAUUAGCUAAUACCGCAUACGCCCUGAGGGGGAAAGCUGGGGAUCUUCGGACCUAGCGUUAAUGGAGCGGCCGAUAUCUGAUUAGCUAGUAGGUGAGGUAAGAGCUCACCUAGGCGACGAUCAGUAGCUGGUCUGAGAGGACGACCAGCCACACUGGAACUGAGACACGGUCCAGACUCCUACGGGAGGCAGCAGUGGGGAAUUUUGGACAAUGGGCGCAAGCCUGAUCCAGCCAUUCCGCGUGAGUGAAGAAGGCCUUCGGGUUGUAAAGCUCUUUCGCAAGGGAAGAAAACUUAACCUCUAACAUAGGUUGAGGCUGACGGUACCUUGAUAAGAAGCACCGGCUAACUACGUGCCAGCAGCCGCGGUAAUACGUAGGGUGCGAGCGUUAAUCGGAAUUACUGGGCGUAAAGCGUGCGCAGGCGGCCUGAUAAGUCAGAUGUGAAAUCCCCGAGCUCAACUUGGGAACUGCGUUUGAAACUAUCAAGCUAG